UACGUAGGGUGCAAGCGUUGUCCGGAAUUAUUGGGCGUAAAGAGCUCGUAGGCGGUCUGUCGCGUCUGCUGUGAAAACUCGGGGCUUAACCCUGGGCCUGCAGUGGGUACGGGCAGACUAGAGUGCGGUAGGGGAGACUGGAAUUCCUGGUGUAGCGGUGAAAUGCGCAGAUAUCAGGAGGAACACCGGUGGCGAAGGCGGGUCUCUGGGCCGUAACUGACGCUGAGGAGCGAAAGCGUGGGGAGCGAACAGG
rnacentral:rRNA from 1 species